ensembl:lncRNA
CUUAUAUCAAUUUAAUUCAAAGGGCUUUCCACCACAAUUACCUCCACCCCCACUGCCGCUUUUGUUCGCCAACCCGGAAGUAGAUUUACCUCGGUCCUCAGAAGACAUUUUGAGUGAGAAAGAAGUCACGCAGAAACAUAAACCCGCAUGAAUGUUGAAGAGCAUUUUUAAAGUGUAAUUUUUCCCUCCUAAUGUACAAACUACAGCCACAGAGUUACUGUCCUGUCUUUCCUACAGCUGUUUAUAACCUAACGGCUAAUAUUGGCGACUGUGAAUAUAUUUGGUUCAGUGGAAAAGACAGUAGUAGUCUUGUUGUGAAAACAAAUGCUCCUGAAGCCUUGGGGGCUUUCACUAAAUUGUGCUGAAAAACGGUACAUUACUCUGAGCUUUUAACACAAUGCACAUCAGUAACAUCUGCCGGUCAGCAAUGAAAAGUAACAUUUGAUGUUUAUAAACUGAACAAAAAAUAUUAACGCACUAAUUAACCAUUUUAUUGAAUUACAGGUCAGAUGUUUGGCGCCGACAGAGAUGGCCGCCUCGCUUCGCGUUCUUAGGAAACUUUGCCAUAUUAAUUUUUUUACGUAUUAUUUCUUACACUGUUAACCCAGGAACUCUCAAGUCUUAUUACAUACAGCCAGGAGGAACUAUUGGAUAUAAGAGCAACAUCAAUUUACCAACAUUACGACCAGGAAUACGACUUUCCCGAAGCGGAUCCUCUGUUUGGACCACCGAGGACAAUGGAUCGGAUCCCAGCCGGCGACCCAAAACAACGGCGCCGCAGACGGAGCGGUCUUCUGGUCAGGCUCCAUAGACUGGCUCACCGCUCCCGAGUUUACUACUGGCCAAUGUCCAGUCUCUUCACAACAAGAGGCAGUAUCAUUUGAAGACGUGUGACAACGAGACAGGGACCACGUCUUCCUCCCAGUCCCUAUAGCUGCUGCUGGUCUCCGGGUCCUGGGCCUCCGACCUCUUCGGAGGAACCAUGACCUUCAACCCCAUAGGGACCAACACAGAUUGAACCUACAGGGACCAUGGGUCUCAGCGACCUGUCCUGCACCCUGAGCUCUAAUGUCUACCCCU